rnacentral:rRNA from 1 species
AACGUAGGAGACGAACGUUAUCCGGAGUUACUGGGCGUAAAGGGCGUGUAGGCGGUUUGUUAAGUCUGGCGUGAAAGCUCUCGGCUAAACCGGGAGAGGUCGUUGGAUACUGGCGAACUGGAGGAUGGUAGAGGCGAGUGGAAUUCCCGGUGUAGCGGUGAAAUGCGCAGAUAUCGGGAGGAACACCAGUAGCGAAGGCGGCUCGCUGGGCCAUUCCUGACGCUGAGACGCGAAAGCUAGGGGAGCGAACAGG